GUAUGGAGCAAAACAGUAGGAUAACACUUAGCAAGGCAUUACGUCAUAUUUUAUAACAAUCCAACAACUGUAAUCAAAUCCCUAUCUCAACAACUAUUGUCCUGAUUCGUGCCCUAUUUUUGGUCAAUAAAUACCAAAUAAGAGUAAUUGUUAGAAAAAGAACUCCAUAGUCUCUCAACAUCUGGAUGGCUUAUCCCUUGAUUGCUUUCUCUGCAGAUUCUACUUUUCUUCAAAUAUUAAUUUACUCCUCAUCCAUCUUAUCACACUUGCCAUUCGUAAUUGCUCAACGUUGAACCGCUGUUG
rnacentral:misc_RNA from 1 species